rnacentral:lncRNA from 1 species
AUGAACGAUUACAAAAAGUUGAAGGAAAAAACAGAAAGGAUGGAAGGAGGGACAACAAACAGUAGUUCCAAUAGUGAGAACACAGAAAAAAAUAGUUACAAAAGUAAAAAUGACUUAGAAGAUAUGUUUGAAAUAAGUGAGAUAAAUGAUUACAAUACGAUAAUGAAAUACGAAUAUAUUUUAAAAUCUAAAUAUUUUAGUAGUAAUAUUAAUGUGUUACAUGCACAGAGAUUAAUAAAAGAAAAAUACGAAAUAGAGUUUCAUACAAAAGCAAAAGAAUUAAAAAGUAAUGUAUUAUAUAGUAUAAUAGAUAUUAAUGAGUUAAAUGGUUUAGAUGAAAAUAUGAGUAUAAAAAAAUAUUUUUUAAAAAAUUAUGAUAAAUUAAAUGAAUAUAAUUAUGUAAUUGGAAAUACAAAUUAUCCAUUAGGUUAUGAGAAAAAUAGUACUGGUACAUUUCGAAUAUAUUUAUUUAAAGUUAUGCCUAAAAAAACUUUGUUAAUAAGUAAAAAUAAUUUUGAUAUUUUUUUAAAAUGUGAGAUUCCUAAUAAUUAUGAUUCUAUAGCGGUUGAAAGGGAGUUAUAUUACGAAAUGUUAAAUUCGGAAAAUAAAAAAAAUUAUAACCCAAAUGUAAAUAAAAGAAGUAUUAAUUUUAUCAAAUAUAAUGAAGAAAUGUUAAAUUAUCAAAAUUUUAAUAAUAACUCGAAUAAUAAGAAAGAUAUUAUUUAUUAUAGUUAUUUGUAUAAAAUAAAAAACUCAGAACAAGUAAUUCCUUUUUUAUUAAUCGAAUUUGAGUUCAAAUGUUUAAGAAUCGAUAUAACUAUUCCUAUAUGUGAAUAUUGUUUUAGUACUAAUGCAUAUAGUUACUGUUAUAAUGAUAGGGUACAUUUGUGUGAUGUAUGUGAUAAAAAAUAUCAUAAUAAUAAUAGGAUUUUAAAAAAUCAUAAAAGAAUUCCUUUAUCAGAAUCACCAUUUCAAUUUGGUAAAUGUGUACAUCAUCCAAAUGAAUUGAUUGAAAACGCAUGUAUGUCAUGUUUUUGUGGUUUAUGUCCAAAAUGUGUUUUAAUAGGACCCCAUUCGAAAGGAGUAUAUAGAAAUCAUCCAAUAACAAAUAUAAAAGAUGCAUAUAUUUUAGCUCGUCAAAAAAAAACAUUAAGUGAUGUACAAUUAGAAGAUCGUAAAACAAAAGUACUUGAGUUAAUAAAAAAAAAACAUAAAUUAUUAGCCGAGAUUUAUUCUAAUUAUUCUUCUGUACAAAAAAAUGUAGAUAAAUUAUAUGCACAUAUGUUGAAUGAAAUAAAAAGUAUUAAACAAAAAAAACUAAAUUAUUUGAUGGCAUUAAAAAGAUCAGUUUUAUCUGAAUUGUUAAUAAUAGAAUGGAUGGAAGCUUUUUUUUUUCAUACAAAAUUGUCAUUAAAUAUGUCCAAUUUUAUAUUAAAUGAAAAAAGGCAACAAUUAGUUAUUAAUUUUCUGUCCCCUAAUAUUAAGGAAAAUAAUUUAUUAAAGUAUAUCCCAUAUUGGGUAUUUCAAAAAAUACACAUUCAUUCGAAUUUGUUUGUUUGUGAAGACAAGUUUUAUCAAAAUACUUUUUCAAAUAAGGUAUGUUUGGGUGGUACUAUGCAAGAUGAUCAGACAGGGUCAUGCGACACCGUCCGUGAUAAACAUAAGGAANNNNNNNNNNUUAAACAUAAGGAAGAUGGUAUUAAACAUAAGGAAGAUGGUAUUAAAAAUGAUACAUAUAAGGAAAAAGGAUUGGAACUUGAAAUACAUGAUAACGCAUUCAAAUCUGUAUUUAACUUUAAUAAUGUGUUUAAUGACAUAAAUAGACAUACUGAUGUGUAUGACAUACAUUUCGACAAAAAUGAAGAGCAAGAUGAGAAUGUAAAAUAUUCCAAGUUAGAAACACCCGGGAUAAAUAAUGAAACAAAAAAUUAUGAUAGUAAUGGAAUUGAUAAUGUAAAUAGUAGCAAUAAUGGAGAUAGUAAAUUGUUUAAUGUGGAGGAUAUUAUUUCGGGAAAUCCGUUCAACGCGAAAAGUAAACAUUUUGACAUAAAUAGCAUGGAAGAAAAAGGUGGCAUUGCAGAAAAAAGUGGCAUUACAGAAAAAAGUGGUAUUGCAGAAAAAAGUGGUAUUGCAGAAAAAAGUGGUAUUGCAGAAAAAAGUGGCAUUACAGAAAAAAUAAACAUUGCAGAAAUAAAUAGUAUAAAAAAUAAAUAUUAUUAUUUAGACGAUAUAGCUAAUGAAAAAGAGAUAAAUGUGAAUUUUUUUUAUUCUAUUUUUAAAAAUGAAAAUAAAAUGAAAUAUAAUGAAUUAAAUAAGAUAUCACUAUUAAAAUAUCCAUAUAUAUAUAAAGAAUUAUGGAUACAUUUGUAUAAUUAUAAAUACAUAAAUAUUAUACAUAUAUUGAAAGUAAGACAUGGUGGAUAUAAUUUAUUCAUGUCGUUAUUGUAUGCUUUUAUGAAUAUAUCUAAUUAUUAUGACUCUAUUGAAGAUUUGGUUAAACAUAUAAUUAAACAUGAGAUAUAUACUUUAUUUAAUAAUACUAUUGAUUAUGGUACUAAAAUGAAAGUUACCGAACUGUUGAAUAACAUGACUACUUUGAUAUGUUUACAAAACUUAAAGGUACAUGUAUUUAUCGAUCAGUAUUUAGAGCAAUGUUUUUUGGAAAUAGAAAAAAAUAAGGAUAUUAUUAAGACAACCAUAGAUAAAUUAGUAAAUCAGAAAGAAGCUGGUUGUUACGAACAUACGUAUCUAAAACAGGUGAAGCAUUACAACGGCUAUAGCAAUCGUAUUAAUCAUGUUGAUUCUGCUGAACAAAAUAUUAAACGGGAAGAAGCUCUGUAUAUACAGGCAGGCACUGAAGAAAGGUACGAACCGAGUCAUAAUGAAACUUUUGAUCAACCUAUAGACGCAACUAAUAACAUGAAUGUAUUACAUAGCGUGAAAAAUGAUAACAAAUCAAACAAUUUAAAAAAAAAAGAACAAAAUACAGUGCAAAAUAUAGUGCAAAAUAUAGUGCAGAACAAUAGCCAAACAAAACUUGGAACAAAAUAUAGCGAGAUAAACAUAGGAGAUAACACCGAAACGGUAGAAAAGAAUUUUGCAACUAUGGAUGAUACAAUAAAAAGUGAAAAUGAUCAUACUCUCGAAUCUGAACAUAAUACGAAUUUAAAAAAACUAGAAUUUCCAAGUAACGAAAAUUUACUUUAUAAAGAAAAAAUUUAUAUAUUAAAUGAUAAAGAUAAAGAAGAAUUUUAUACCCUAAAAAAGAUAAAAGAGUAUGUCUGUAUUUAUAUCGAAAAGUUUAUAAAUGAAUUAAUAAAAAUACCACAUAAAGAACUAAACAAUAGUAUAAGAUUUUUAUUCUAUACAAUUCAGGAUGAAAUUGAAGGAUUAAAUAAAAAUCAAUUAAAUAAUGAUCAUAAAAUAAAUAUACAUACUUUCACCCUUUGUUUAGACUUAUUUAUUAAUUCAGUUUUAUAUCCAUAUAUUUUUUAUGUGCAUGAGCAACAUGCAAAUGUAGCCAUAAAAAACAAAAACUCUGUACUGUACCAAAAAGUUGUGUUAAUGUUUGCACAGACAUUAAAAGAAAUGUCUAUAUAUAUUUUCCAAAUAUACAAUAUAGGAACCUACGAAGAUAAUUUUAAGACAUUCAUAAAUAAUAUAAAAAAAAAUGAUUUAAUGGCGGGUAAAGUAAAUAAUGAAAGUAUGUUUUUCUUGGACGUUUGUGAGAAGCUGUACAAAUGGAUCAUGAAAAAUUUAGAAGUACCCAGGUACUACUCACCAAUUAGAUGGUCAUGCAACGAAAGUAUAGGAAAGAGUUUUGAAACAGUGGUAAAGGAAAUUGUAAAUAUAGAUAAAUUGGCAACACAAAAAUGUGUUAAUGAACAUAUUGAUUUUAAUAUGUUCUUUAGUAUUAAAAAUGUUAAGGAAAUAUUGGAUUUGUGUUAUUCAAUAAUAAAUGACAUUGAAUAA